rnacentral:tRNA from 1 species
CAAGAUAUAGCUAGGUUAGUAAGCCACUCUUUUACACAGAGUUGAGAUUCGUGCAAGUCGGAUUAUUUUGA